AUGGCGGAUCCAGUGACCAUGCUAGGCAUGAAAGCCAUAGGAUGGGUAACAGCGCCUAUCGUCUCUGAGCUUUUCAAGAAAUGCGCCAACUACCUGAGCUUUCACGCGUCAGAGAAGUUACGACAGCUUGGUCCAAAAGUUUUGCUGAUCGAGAGGGCUAUGGAGGUAUUUGAGGAGUUCCCCAACAGGUCUCGUGUGAAGCAGCUCUUCAACGAUCUUAAGAAUGCUUUCUAUGAAGCCGAAGACAUCUUGGAUGACAUUGAGUAUCAUUGUCUCGAGAAAAAGAUCCAAGAUGACAAGUUCAAAUCAGAUGGCAUAAGAGAUGCUGGCUGA
rnacentral:rRNA from 1 species